rnacentral:lncRNA from 1 species
UGCUUAAGAAGUGGUGAAGUCGCAAGUCGCAACGUGCGAUUCAGCAAUCACAAUACACCAAACUUCUUCUUCCAUGGCGUCUCUGUGGUGACUGUUGAUUCUUCGAAAGUAUCGUCUUCUUUCCUAGCCAUCUCUGAUAGUUUAGAGUCUUCCUUCUGUCUUCUGCAAAAGCAAAUGAAACCCACCAAUUUUUUCCAGUAAAGCCACAAACUUUACCUGGAAAACUGCCUCUUUCUUUUUUUUUUUUUUUUUUUUUUUUUUUUUUUUUUUUUUGUAAAANNNNNNNNNNNNNNNNNNNNNNNNNNNNNNNNNNNNNNNNNNNNNNNNNNNNNNNNNNNNNNNNNNNNNNNNNNNNNNNNNNNNNNNNNNNNNNNNNNNNNNNNNNNNNNNNNNNNNNNNNNNNNNNNNNNNNNNNNNNNNNNNNNNNNNNNNNNNNNNNNUUUUUUGUUUUUUUUUUUUUUCCGUCGGAAAAAUCCUUAAUGGGAAAUUGUGGCUUGUUCGAUCUAGAGAAGCACUUUGCAUUCUACGGCGCGUAUCAUAGUAACUCGAUAAACAUAGCGAUUCAUAUGAUAUUUGUUUGGCCAAUCUUUUUCACCACUCUUCUCAUACUUUACUUUACUCCUUCUCUGAUUAAUCUGGACUUCUCUCUGUUUGGUAACGAGUUUAUUCUGCUUUUCAAUUUUGGAUUCUUGUUUGCUUUGAUCUAUGCUCUGUUUUAUAUAUGUCUGGAUGCGAAAGCUGGUUCCUUGGCUGCUUUGCUUUGCUGUUUAUGUUGGGUGACUAGUAGUUUUUUGGCUGCUUGGCUCGGGUUUUCUCUUGCUUGGAAGGUAAAAAUUUUGUCUUUAUAUUAUUUUUUUAUUAUGGAUUUAAUGUGGGUAUCCUUUUUUUUUCUCUUUUUAAUCUAAAUUUAUUUUACAUUGGACUGUUCACCAUUUCUGAAUUUGUUCAUGUAGAAAUUAUAUAAGCUUUUAGGAGAAUUAUGUUUGGGUUUUUGAAUCAUCAUAUUUGAUUGGUGCUAAUGAUAGAUUACAAGUUUUUGGAAAUAGAAAAUUGGAUCAAUGGUUGACCAUAACUUUCGAUUCACAGGCCUUUAGCUCAUAUAUAAUUUUAUAUUUCUUUUAAAUAAGGCUUCACUAUAAUGGCCAUAACUAUAUGUUUAUUGUUCCUUCCAUUUUUCUGUUCGACUGGAAUACGCCGUUGAAUUUUUCAAAAACAAAAGUGGUAACUUUAUUUGCUUGUGCCUUCAUGAUGCAAUUUUUCAGUUUUCACUAUUUUUAUCCAAUGGAAUUUUUCUUUAAUUUUGUUUCAUUUUUUCUCUUGAACCAUGACCAUUUGUUGUCAUUUUAAUAUUAUUACAAUUUUAUUUUUCAUUUUGUCAAAAUGUAUUUUUAAUAGAAUGAUUUGAUUUUGAUUCUAGCUUGUACUUCGAAAUAUGAAUGCACUAGUUAGAUUUGAGGUUAGAAGUCGAACAUUUGGUGGUUCCUUACUGGUUAUGUUUUGCUGUCUCUGAAUUUGCCCUUGUCUGUCCAAGAUGAUUAUUUGUUAUUCUGAUGUGGUUUUCAUGAUGUUUGGUGGCUAAAGGUAUCUCAUUAAAUAGCUAUCUAUAUACUUCCUAUUUUGGCUUGUUUUUGUUACUUCCUCCAUCAACCAAUCUUACUUUGCUCCUUUAGUUUCAGGGUGGUUCUGUCUGGAACCAUGUUCCUUCAUUUUCACCUUUCAUCUUGGUUUUUAUGCGUGCAAUAAUUUAAGCUGUGUUUUAAACUAAGUUGUAACUUAGUUUAAAACAUAAGCUAGGGAGAUAAUGACAUUUAGAGUUGUGUUUGUCAAGAUAAGUUUGGCCUUGCAAAAUGCAGUUAUGGUCAUACUUGAUUUUUUUCAGUAAGUGAAGGUAGAUUUAGUCAUUGUGAAGCAUCUUGUUGCUUCUAGAACUUUUGUUGAGGUUUCCAUAUGGAAUAUAAACCUCUACCAAAAAUUUAAACUCAAUGAGAUGCUUCACUAUGAUUGCAUCUACUUUCAUUUACUAAAAAAUCAAGAAUGGAAAUAAAAAGAUUCAUAUGGCCCCCAAGUAGUUUGUGAUUAAGGCUUAGUUGUUAUUGUUUAUAUGAAAUAUAGUUUGCAUGCUUUAGUAGCAGAUCUUUAUGUGGUAGAAUGGUUAGUGGUUAAAUCCUAUUUUCUUUCUUUAUUUGGCUAUCUGAAAGUCAAUAAAAAGCAAAUUAAUAUGUUAUGAACAGCUGCAGGACCAGAAGUAACACUGGUUCCCUGAAUUUCUGUUGGGUAUAUAAUUAUUUCAGUUCUUCCUUUUUGAAAGAUCUUAAUUCAUAGCUAAUCCUUUGAUCAGCUGUGCAUUACGAAAAUUAAAUUAGAUCUAUUCACAAUGAACAUACAUUAUAUUGUGGAAUGCAUAUCAUAUUCCAUAUUUGGAUCACUGUUUUCCUUUGCAAUAUUACCAAUGCUUUGAGAAUUUUUGACUUUGGAGUUGAUAAGAAGGUUUUAGAAUUAUUGCAGUAAAGUUAACUGUCAUGUAAUCUAAAAUAAAUUAUUGUUCUUUCUAUGCCAUAGGGGAUAUUGAGAUUGAGAUAGAAUUGAUACCAUGGCUUAAUGAGGCUAACAUAUUUUUAGCAAAUAAAUGAGAUAGACAUGAUGAAAGUAGUUAAUCUGGAGUAAACCAAUUUUUAGAUAUUGACACUCUAGAAGGAUAAUGUAAACUGAUAUGGAGAUUCACUUGCUUUGUCAGAUUGGCAUAAAAAAUCUUAAAUCAACAAAAUUAUUGCUUAUCUUGGAUUGCGUGAAAGCAUGUAUAUUGACUAUUGGAUCAUUUCCUUCUAAGAACAUCUCUACACUGUAAAUUGAUCACGUUGUUGGGGAGUGUAUGUGUGUAUUACAUUGAUUUGUGUGUCAGGUAAUUUCAUCACGUGAGAGGGCAACCAGUCUCAUGUGUUCCGCUUUCACCUUUUGUUACUCAAAAGCAUGACCCUGAGACAGGGAACAUUUUUGUUUCAUUUGGUUUUAUCUGUACCUAACAUUUUGUAGGCAUUUGGUAUGGCUUAAACAUCACCAUGAGACGGGAGUAACAUUUUAGUUCGUUUGAUUUUAUUUGUGCCUAACUUUAUGUAGGUUUUUGUGGUGGCUCAAAUUGUUUGUUGGACUGGACAGUUCAUUGGCCAUGGGGUAUUUGAGGUAAUUUGUUCUGUGAUUUGUAAAUAUAGUUUAACAACUUUGCAUUCUAUCUCUUUUUGUGUAAUGUCAUCAAAUAUCCUGCAGAAACGAGCGCCAGCUCUUUUGGACAACCUUCUUCAAGCUCUGAUAAUGGCUCCCUUUUUUGUACUGCUGGAGGUAAUUUUGUAAGCUUCAUGAUAUUAUAACACUCUUGAUCUGAAAAGUUUAUCUUUUUCUUUCCUUCAGGGUCUUCAAACCUUCUUUGGUUAUGAACCAUAUCCAGGUUUUCAUGCAAAUGUUCAAGCGAAGGUUGAGACUGAAAUCAAUGGGUGGAAAGAGAAGAAGCAGAAUUUAAUUGUGUAAUUUGAACUGUUGUAUGUCCACAAUUAACGUUAUUGAUCAGUAUAGUUCCUGUUGCUGUAAAAAAUUUGUUAUGUAACGAUAGUAACUAUAGAAAAUGCACUUAAGAACCAUAAAUAUGAAAUACAAGGAUACAACUGUUGUUGCUCCAGGAAACUCUCAAGUUCUCUCAAUCUGAUUGGUCUACGUGCAAUUUACCAUUAGUGAUCAUGAAAAUUUAAUGUGAUUGUUUCUGGAACUGUUAUCACUAGCAAAUGCAGUUCCAAUUCGAUGUCAGGGUCCUGUAGAACAUACAAGGAAAAAAAGUGACGCAAUAUUUGUAAGAUCUUUUUCAUCUUGGAACAAUUUAUUGCUCACUGUUUCAACAACUUGAUUUUUGAUUAUAUUAGAAUGAAUUAACAAGAACAUCAUUUUCUCUAGUUGUAUCUUAUGAGCGCCUGGACACUCUAAGCUUCAAGCCAUGUGCCAUCGAUAGAGUUGUCAUCAUCCUGUAUUUCACGGGAUGAUUUGGGACCAAAUGGAACUUGAAAAAUCUGCAGAGUAUAGCCAGUGUCAUUUUCAUCUGCAGAUAUGCAGAGUCUUUACCGAGGCAUAUCCUUGGUCCAGCCUUCACAUAACAUUGACGGAAUGGAAAUGUAAGGUUAGUCCCAUUUAUUUUCAAGAAGCAAUAGAAUUAAAGCUUGUAAGUUUCUCUUGCAAAACUUACUUGAAAUGCAGUGAACUUGAAUGGAGAUGCAUUCUGGAAGAUACCAUCUUUGAGCCAUCUCUCAGGCUUGAAUGAAGCCGCAUCAGGUCCCCAGUUAUACUCCAUCCUACCCAUUGAGUAAGGUACGUAAGUUACCAUUCCUCCAGCUUUUACUCUGGUUCCAUCAGGCAAGAUAUCAUCUUCCAUAAUGCCUUUGGGAUCCUACAAUCAUUCAAUAUCAGCUCAAUGUUUGUUUAUCGUUGACAUGAUUAUUUCACGUUGCAUACUUCUUGUCCCAAAAACUUUCAGUUUUGGACAUAUCUCAGUCUGACACACAUGCAUGUCAUGUGCUAAUUUUUAAGAAUAGACAUAGUCAUAUGCUACCCUUUUUUCAUAGAUAACAUGCUAUGAGUCUUGAAGCUUAGGGUGCCUUGUGGUGGUGUUGGUUGCCCCCCCUCUCCAUGGGAAAUUAUUAUUCAAUAUACUCAGGGCACUAAAAUAUAUGAACAAUACAAAUAUAUCCAAUCCACUUGAAGUUGUGAAAAGUGAAUCCCACAUUAUGAUUGAUGUGUACCGAAUAAUUUCUCAUUCACUAAUUACUAACUCUCCCCUCUUACAGUACUUAACCCAUACUACAAAUGGGGGAGAAAUAAGCAUACCUGAGGGACUGCUGGGUACAAACGGAGUGUCUCGGUUACAACUGCGUGCAAAUAAUAUAGUUUGCCUAAUGAAUCAUAUGUCAAGAGUCCUGCAUAUUGCAUUAUUCUUUGAGUGAAAGAUUCAAGAUCAUCCAAGUCAAACUGAAGCAGCAUAACAUUCUCUUCCUUUGCCCUCUCUUCCUCAAAAGUUUUCAACUCCAUGUAGAGCUUCUCAGCUAUAUCGUUAUGUGUCAUUAUCAUGUAAAUGGCCCAAGAAAGAGUUGUUGCUGUUGUAUCUCGGCCAGCUAUCACGAAGUUGAGGACAACAUCUCUCAGACUUUUAUCUGUGAAGUUGUUUUCUGGAUCUUCCCCCAACUCAAUGAACCUUGAUAAUAUAUCAUGUUUGCCCUGAGUAUAUAUACAAAAUUUAUUUUGAUUAGUAAAAAUCUUGCUUCUUGUGUUUGCUUUUUAUCAUUCUAGCGCAAGAAAGCUUACCUUCUCAUGACCGAUCUUUCGAGCUGCUUCUAUUUCUGCUUUCCUUUUAUAAAUGACGGAGUAAGUGAAAUCAUCAAUGAUUUUGAUACUCUUAUCAAGUAAAGCUUCUGAUCCCACAUUGAGGAAUUUCUUUAUUUUCCACAAUGGAUCAAUGAAACGAAGAGUAACAAUGAUGUUUGCAGCAUCAAAAGCCUGAGCAAAGCAAUUAUCCGGUAGAUUGGGAGCCAAUGCUCCUAUUUCCACUCCAAAUCCCACUUUGCAUAUAGAGUCCAAUGUCAUCCUCAUUAACAAUUCCUAUAAAACACAUGUUUAAUACAUUUAUAGGGCUUAUGGAAGGAUGAACGCGAAAAAUUUACAAGAUUUUUCCUUCUCUCUCUCUUCCUUUUUUUUUUUUUUUUUUUUUGGAGCAUCAGGAGAGUGGGAUUGGAACUUGGGUCUAAGCUCAAGUCGUAUAUGUAUUUACCGCCAAGCUACACCUGCAAAAUUUACAAUAUUUUUCCUUCUCUCUCUCUUCCUUUUUUUUUUUUUUUUUUUUUUUUGGAGCAUCAGGAGAGUGGGAUUGGAACUUGGGUCUAAGCCCAAGUCGUAUAUGUAUUUACCACCAAGCUACACCUGCAAAAUUUACAAUAUUUUUCACAUCUCACCUGCAUGUCUAUUUCUUGGUUUUGAAAAGAUGCAUUACUGAGAAUAGAUGAGAGCUUCAAGCUGUAUUCCCUAAAGACUAUGGUGCUGAAAUCUCUUAAAUUCUUGGAUGCAAACUCAAAACUUGCAGUCUUCCUUUGUCUCCUCCAUAGUUCACCAUCAGCAUUAAAUAUCCCAUCUCCAAGCAGCACUUCCAUAUAUGAAUGAUAAGUCUCACCCUUUAAUUGAUAUUAAUUUCCAAUAUUACCAAAGAAUAAGUUUAGCACAAAAAGAGACUUCAUAUAUAUACAUAUAUGUGUGUGUGUGAAAAUAUUGAACAGAUAAAUACACGUUUGAGUGCUGAGAAUUAUUACCUUUGGAUAAUUGGAAAAGUUGGUCUUAAGGACAUGUUCAACACUAGCAGGAUCUGCAAUGUAAGUAUAUGUUGUGAAUGGCAUUGGAACUACUACAGUUCUCAGCUCAGACAGGUAGGCAACAAGCCAAUCAUGCAUUCUAUCAUAGUUCAUAAACUGCUCAAUUGCUGCCCCUAUUAUUGGCCAUGUUCUUGGUCCUUUUUUGUUUCUCUUUCUCCAUUGAUGGAGAAAAAUGCAUGACAAGGCCAAGCAAGCUAUCAUCGAUAUUCCCAUUUCUUUCUCCAUUAGUUAUAAAUCCUAAAUGACAAAAUUAUGUAAUCCUGUUGAUAGAAAAUAUCUGAAUGUAAUUGUUGCUUAUAAUGUGAAUGGAAAUGGUAAAGAGAGAGUUGGUUGAAAAACAGGUUAGUGUGAAGUAUAGAAUGAUAAUUUCUUUUUUCUUUUCUUUUUAUCACAGGCUUUGUAUGUUCUAGGAUACUUGAAAAUGGGAUUUUCUUGUUUCUUGUUUCUGUUUCUUUUAUUUUUAUCACAGUCUUUACAUGUUCUGAGAUACUUAGAUUAAAUUGCUUCACCUCCUUUUAGUCCUUGACCUAAUGACUCAUUCAAACAAGCAACUAACAGAUAAAACUUAUUCAAAUGGGAUUCCAUUUUCUUGAUGCUAAUGUGGAAUUAGAAUCUUCAAUCUUGCAUCUGACUAAGCCAUUAAGAUUUGUCGCUUUGGAUAUAAAUCACUAUCGAAGCUUUUAAAUAAUAAGAAAAAGAUUAAUCUCAUGCAUGCACCAGACUCCUAUUUGCUUCGCCCAAAUCGCUUUUCCACACUAUUUUUUGACCAGCGUCCAAAUCAUUCAAUUAUUUAUUUUUAGAUAAGUAACACAAUAGCAUUUGCUAAUUACUGGUCUAAGGCUGCAGAGAAUCGUACAAGAUCAUUCCAACCGCGCAAAUCUCAGGUUCAAAUCUCACCGUAAUUACUUGAUUCCACAUUGGAUUUGUAGAGAUUAAAAUUAAUACAAAGAAUCUCCAUUCAAUCAAAAGUAAAAACAGCUUUAAUAGUGAAUGUAAUGAUAUGUACAAAUUCAAGCUUGUCCUAUGUUUUUAACUUUUUAAAGUUGAAUAUUGAGUGUACAAUAUUGGCCUUGCCUAUCUAAUUCACAAUUUUUGUCUAUUGUAACAUUGUGUACCCUUUCACAAACAAUUUUUAGAUGUUCUGAACAACUGUCAUUCCCCAGUAAAUCCAAAUUUCCUUUUGAGUCAAAGCCAGGCAAAUCACUGAAAUUCAUAGACCAUUGGAUUCAUUAACAAUGGCUGGUUCAAAACGCUACUCUGAUUAGCCUGGAAUUUCCCAGAAUCUGUAUAUUGGGAAUUCAUUUCUCCUAGCUGAAAUUUUGCCCCUUGGUCAGUCAAAGCAUUACUAUUGCCAAUGAAGUUUUGGAACUCAAAAUUCGAAUUGUAUGAACCGUUGUCAUUCAAAAGGUGAGAAAUUGAUCCCAUAUACUCAAAUUCCAAUAAAUGGGUUAGAGAACAUGUCCUUGGAAAUUUGAAUAGUUGUUGCUCACUAGCAUCACUGGUAUCAGGUAAGUCCGUUUGGGUACUUGUAUUUUCUAUUUUCUCCUCCAAAUGUCUUCCUACAUGCCUUUUCUUAUAAAUCCUACACAGGACCCAAUCAUCCAACUGAAAGCACCAAAACAAGAAAAAACAAAAUCAUAGUCAAUACAAAAUCCUUAGAUUAGAAGGUAAUAACAAACCAAUUCAAUAAUGUCAGAAGGGCUUACUCUCAUGGACCCAUUAUGCUUGUUGGCUUGCUUUCUUGAAUCAUUUAAACGAUAUUCAUGCAUAAUCCAAUCAGUUUUAACACCCUUAGGUGGCCUUCCCUUGUAAAAUACAAGAGCUUUCUUCACACCAACAUAUUUAGACCCACUAUAGAUGGCCUUAUCUGUACCAGUAGCUUUCCAAUACCCAGAAACAGUUGCUCUGUUAGGCCUCACUCCAUUUGGAUACUUCCUAUCACGAGGGCUAAAAAAAUACCAUUCGUUUUCACCAAAUUCUGCUUUCUCUGCAUCACAAAUCAAUAUUAUAAAUCCCAAGAAUAAAUCCAUAAAAGUUUUAAAAAGGAAAUUCAGGAACUGGGGUUUUGGGUAUUAUAUACCAUAAUUUAGAAAUUAAUUAGUAGUUACCAGGUAAUUGCCAAGGGUCGAACUUGUAAAUAUCAACUUCUGGUAUAAUUGCUACAGGGCAAGGCUUUGAUGAGGCUUGAUUACGAAGAUAAUACACGACUAAUUCCUCAUCAGUUGGGUGGAACCUAAAACCAGGAGGAAGGUUAGAGCUAUUUUUGCCUAGCAUUUCUACUGCUCAAACAAAGACAAAAUACAAGAAAAUAAUAUAAUAACAGGAAAAAAAUAUGGGUUGUCUUCUAAUUAUUAUUUAAGUUAAUGGGUUGUGUCUUGUUUGCGGUGGGGGUGGAGGGAGGAGGAGGGGCCACCCAUGAGAAGUAGGCAGAGGAAGAUGAGGGUUUUUGAAAUGUUUGCAAGGAGAGGGCUAUGGCUUUUAUUUGUGAGGGUUUUUUGUCAGUUAGUGAGAUCUAUAGAUUUGAUUGGUAGUUUGAUUGACUUCCACUUUUCCUAGGAAUAGUUUUUGGGUAGGGCAAUACACGUACGCACUUGUUAGAUUAUGACAUUUUGUACCUUACUUGGUCGCUCAAAUUAUGUUUAUCUACUAUUAGUAUUUCAAUAGCAUUUAUCCAAAAGGGAUAUAUAUUUGUUCAAAAGAAAAAUAUCCAAAAGGAUAUCCAAUGAGAUAUUUUCAUUAAAUAUUUCAAUAUUUUAACAGAAUUAACUUAUCUGAACCGAAUUUAUAGUUUCAUUCAAAAAUUAAAUUGAUAAAAUUAAAAAAAAUUUUUAAUCUUUAUAUUUCUUACCAUAUAUUAAGAAAAAAAAUAAUAAAAUAUAAAUAACUUUUAAAAAAAUCUUAAGUUUCACUAAUUUGAUCGUAAAUGAUACAAUAAAACUGAUCUAGUCAAGUAUUUUUUCACUUUUUCACUACUUUUUAGUUCAUUGGAUUAGGCUUCACUGAAAUAAUUAAUCAAAUAGAAUUAAUAGUAUUUUAAUUUAAUUCCGUUUAAAAAAUUCACUUUGAUUUCGAUUUUAUUCAGAUUUAAAAAAAUCAUAAAAGUCUAUAAAUUAAAAUAAACCCUAAAAAUUCAAAUUGUUUAUACUAAUUUUAUUAAUUUGAAGCAAACCAAUUCAGUAUCCACCCUUAUAUUGCACUCUCCUAAAACCACGGGGCUUUUUUUGUUUUUCCCCCUUUUUCUUCCUCCUUGCGUAAUGAACUUAUCUACCUAAUAAUUGAAGGACAUUCUCCUCCUAACUCAUUGACUAGGAUUAUUUUAGAGAAAAUUGAUUUCCAAAUGACAUUUUUUUUUUUCAAAUAAUAAGAAAAUUGCUUUUGCAUUGCUUUGAAGUUAGAAGAAAAUUUUAAUUUCGAUCUCAUUGACUUUUUAAGUUUGUUCAUUAAGCAGUGGAAUUAUUUGAUAAAUAAUGUAAUUCUUAGCCAUUUUCAAAUCAUUGUAAAAUUUUAAUUUUAGUUAUAUUAAAUAUUUUUUUUGCUCUCACGCGGUCCAAAUAUGAUUAGCUACACGACUAGGAUGGUUCGCUUUUUAAUUCACUAAAUUGGUAAAAAUUUUCAUAGUCGAAAAAAUUUACACUUAAAAUCUUUUAUUCGCAUCUUAACGAAAAGACUAAAAUUGACUAUUAAAUCAUCUUCACGAGAAGACUAAAAUUGACUAUUAAAAAAAUUUUUAUAUUUUUAGAAACAUACGAGACAAAUAAAAUCUAUCUAAACGUAGUUAGAGACGUAUACAACAAAAUUCAACAGAACAUAGGCUUUUGUUGAAAUUGUCAAAAGUCAUAUUAGAAAAUCAAAUUAAAGACCUUUCUAUGUUAAGGGAUUGUCACAAUAGUUUCUAAACGCUAAAAUAACUAAUGAAUAGUAUUUUCAAACAAAAAAAAAAAAAACUAAUGAAUAAUAAUAUUAUUAUAUAUUAUUAAAAUGAUAGUUUUUGCAACUUGAGUGUGAACUUCAAAUCCUUAUUCUUUUUUUUUUCUUUACACAAAAAACAAAAUUCCUUUUGCCCAAUCAGUAACGGAUAUAUGUACCUAUCAGCCCCAAUUCCUAAAGCACCACGCGUCCUCCAAAAUAUAUAUAUAUAUAUAUAUAUAUAGGAUAAACAUGGGAGAAAAUUAAAGUUAAUUAUUUUCUUUACAAAUUUUUAAAUUAUUAUACCCAAAUUCUUAGUUUCUGGUUCUUAUCCAGCCACAUCACCUAAUGGGUCCUCAUUGGUCCAACCUAUCACCAAUCCAUAAUUCUAAUCUAAUUUAUUCAAUUCUCAGUUAGUUAAUUAAUUAAGUUGUUUAUUUAUUUAUCUAUUGAAUAUUUUUAACGAGUCUCAAAAUUAUCUUAUAAAUAUUCAUUAAUAAUGCAAAAUAAAUAAAUUUAUUUUAUCAAUUAAUUCAAUAAUAUUAAAAAUUAUUAUAAUCAAUUUUUUUAGCGUUAAGCGAGUCCAUUUGGAUUAAGAUCAAAACUCUGUCGCGCAGUACGCCUUAAUUUGUGCAAAUCUGAUAUUGUUAGAAUUAUGUAGAACUAGAAGAGAAAAUGAUAAUGACUGAGAAUAGUAGAGAAGAGAAUAUUCUAUGAAUCCCAGCCUCUGUAAGUGGAUCCCGCCAACCUAUUCAUAUUAUGGGCAAGGCGAGCCAUGCGCGUGGGUUGUAGUAGGUGGCUUGUCUUUGUUGGCACGAGUUUUUUUUUUUUUUUUUUUUUUUGUCGUUUAGGUUGACGACAAUUCAUAGUCCGCGUGGUUAUGGAAAACAAAAUAAAAUUUUCCUAUAUUCCAAAUAUAAAGCACUUAUACACAAUAUUAAUUAAAAGUUUUUUUUUUAAAUUAUUGUUUUUUUCUUUUCCAAUAAAUGGAUACAGAUAUUCUAUUUUUUUAAUAAAAAAAUAUUUAAAUUAUUUUGUUAUAGAGAUGAGUCUAUAUAGUACAUGUGAGUAAAAAUAUAAUAACGAAAAUAAUAAAAUUAAUAACAAUGCUUGCGCUGCUGGAAUGGGUUUGGAUAGAAUUAAUCAUAAUCCGUUGGAGUGGCGUAGUCCGUAGUCUUUGGGAGAGAAAAUAGACGAUAGUGAUGCAUGCAGGUGCUAGUUUUGGAAACAAUGACACGCAAUUACAUGAAUUUUUUGAAAUAUAAUUAAUUUUUUAAAAUUUGGCAUAUUAAGUAUAGAGGUUUAGACUUUAGAGAUAGUAAUAUCAUUUUAGGUAAUUUUAUGAAACUAAAAUAUUAGUUGAGGUCAAAAUUGCCUAAACAGUAUUUUAGAUUUAUUUCCUUAAGUGGCACACAUGUGUUGAUCUUUUCUUCCUCUUUUCAUUUAAAAAAAAAAUCUUAUGUCCACAUCAUUUGUUGAUUACAAAGGAAGUUCAUUUUCAUAAUUUUUGAUAAUCUAAUAACUAUAAAUAUUUUUUAUUUAUGCUUAGCUUAUUUCUGUAAAAUAAUUUGUAAGAAAAUAAUUUGCUGAAAAAUAUUUUCUAUUGAAAACAUUUUUCUCGAAAAAUAUUUUUUAAAUGACUUAUUUUCUGUUGAUUGGUUGUAAUAUUGAAAAUUAAUUAAAAAUAUUAAAAUCUUUAUCUAAUACGACCAUAAAAAAUAUUAAUAAUAAUAGAAAUUUUAUAAUUUAAAAAAUUUAUUAUAAAAAAUGAAAAAAAAAAUUAUGAAAGCUGCCGGUGGUGGUCGGUAAUAAAUAGUAACUGAUGGUAGUGAUUGCGAUGGUUAAUAAAUUAAAAAAAUAUGAAAUUAUAAGAUUUAUCAAUAUCUAGAAAAUGUUUUACUCUCUUGAAAAUGAAAAGUUACUUUGCUUAAAAACGACUUAAUUUUCCUUUGUAAAAUGAAUUUGAAAUAAUAUAAUUCAUUUACAUAUAAUAAGAUUUACUUAUUUUAAAAAAUGAAAUGGACAUUUUUUAUUUACAUCAAUCUGUUCAAUGAAUUAUGAAUUUUAAAUACAUUUUACAAAAUCUUGUAAAAUUUAUUUAUACUAAUCAUAGUCUAAGCACAACUACAAAUUCACAACGUGGUUCUAGCAGCUGAUUAUGAGCCUGACAUCAAAGAUCAAAAUUAAAUAUACUAUAUAAAUAUAAGACGAAAUAUACUAUAAUUUAAUUUUUUUUUUCCACAAGUAUUCCAUAUAUUUUAGCAUGUAUGAGAUUAUUCUGGUUCUCUCUAUUCAUUAGUGUUUCUUUCAUAAAUUAAACUUCUUAUGGAUUAAUAUCAAAAUAACUUUGAUCAACCAUUUUUGAGCAAUGAUUGAGCUUUAAAACAGUAAUUAAGUCAAUUGGCACUUUUACAAAAAAUGGGUUUCCUUUCGCAUACAAACUAUCCAAUUUCCAGUUAAUCCAGCCAGGUACUCAGGCCCAGACAGAUCUGAAAGCAUAUGUAAAUAACUGGCGGGCCCAUUACGAAAACAAUUUAGCGUUGGCCCAUUAGAACAGUUACCGGCUGACGCCAAAGGCCCAGAACCUAGUUCCUUUUUGAACCGCAAACACCAGUUUUAAUUUUCGCGGAAUGAAAUAACAAGAAAUAAAAUUUAUCAUUGCAAAAUAAAUAUUUAUUCUUUAAUAUUUAUUUGAAUAAUAGAAAAAAAUUCAUAAAAGAAUUUAUAUGGUCACAUAUUUAUUAUUCUAUAAAUUAUAUAUUUAAAUUGUAUACCAAAUAAUUAUUUAAUAAUGAAAUAAUAUAAUAUUUAAAUUAUUUUAUAAUUAUUUAAAUUUGUUUACCGAAUAAGAGAUAACUAUUUAAUAAGAAAAAUUGAACAAAAUUUAUUUAUUCCUUCAAUCGCAGUAAUAUAUAGUCUGUUCGAAAAUUAAUUUUUAUAUAAUUAUCAUCCUAACUUUAUACAAUAAAAAAGUAAAGUUUAAAAUGUUAACUAUUAGAAAUUAUUAUUGGUAAAAUAAUAAAAUAUAUAUUUUUAGAAUUUUUGUUAAAAAGUUAAUUAUUUAGUGUAAAUUAAGGUCAUAAUUAUAUAAAAAUUAAUUUUUAAAUGAAUUGUAGAAUGGUGCUCGAGCUAAGGGUAAAAUCGAGCCUUUUUUGGUUUCUAAUAAGAAAAACUAUUCCAUUCCACCGCAUUUUAUGUUAUUCCUUCGACCAAACGGGCUUACAUAUAAAACGCAUGCAAUUUGUUACUACCUGAAAAUUCAUCGCUAUGCUUAGGGUUUCUGUCAUCUAAUAGGAAUUUGUCUUGCCGUCCAUAUCUGUGCGUUCUCAUCAUCUCUAAUCUUGUAUUUUCGAUUCUUAAAUCCAGCCUCUUCAUUUUCCAGUUUGAUUAUAUCUUUACCGUAUUUUAAUUGCAGGUUCGUAGUACUCCGUUAUUAUAUGGUUUAAACAUGUAUUCUUCAAGAGGCAGCAGUGCCUACGGGCAGCAACCGUAUGGUGCGCAAUCUGGCUAUGGUCAAAAUGUAAGUUCCUUAUUAUAAGAAUUACAGUUUUGAUUAUCUUUUUGGAACAUCUAUAAACUGUGUAUUGAUGGGUUGUUUUAUUUAUUUAUUUUUUUACUAUUUGGUUGGGAAUCUAUACAAUUGGGUUAGGAGUUGAGUUCAUUACAUGGUUUUGAUUAUCAUGAAAUUUUGCGUGUUAAUGAGUUAAUGAGGUAAUGAGUUAAUGAUUUAAUAGGGAGAUGCACUGGAAUUCGAGAGUUAAUGAGUUUUUGUAGAUAAAUGGUUUCAUUUUGCUUUUAAAAUUUUGUCCUUUUAUAGCUGGGAUCUGCGUAUUCUGGGAGUUCAGUUGGAGGGCCUGAUGGAGGCUCACAACAUUCGCUGGCUCCUAGGCAUACAUCAAUUCUUACUGGUUCACAAGAAGCAGAUGUUGGUGGUGGGUACAGAGUUUCCGCUGCACAUUAUGGGGGACAAUAUGGGUCUAUAUAUGGCUCUUCUUCCAUGACUGGUGCUCAACAGGUUGGUAGGCUGUGUUUCAUUUUUUUAGUUUUUGUCCAGAAUGUUCCUUGUACGGUUGUACCUCAACAUCAUCUUAUUCUAUAUUUACUUCCAUGAUAACCUUCAAUCUUGAGAUUGUUUUUUGAAGAUUCAUUUGCACCUUACUCUUCAUUGUUUUGCCUCUGUUUUUUGCUCAAUCAGCCUUAUUUACUUCUAAUUAGCUGCAUUGCCCUUGAAUCUUUAGAUAAUUUCCAAAGUUGAUAUAAGAUGACAAUUUAUAAUUAUAUGUUGGUGGACCCUUGGAAUUCAACCUAGGAAAAAUGCUUUUGGUCUUACAAUUAAGUGUAUUAUGGAUAAUGCCAUCCAAACAUUUAUAUUCUUUCUUGCUCUCCCCCUGAUAUUGUGGCUAGGAUUUAACUUAGGUCCUAGAAAUUUAGUCUUUUUUGUGCUAUGUUUUAAUUGGUGGUAAAUUAUACCCUUAACUCAUGCUGCUAUAAAUGUAUAAGGUCCCAUUUGAAAUUUUUGUCUUGCGUAGGUGUCAACUAUGAGUGCUAAAGGGACGGCAGCAUCAGCUCUAGAAGGUCGUGGUGGCUAUGCUUCAGCUCUCCCUGAUUCUCCAAAAUUUACAUCUGGUGACUAUAUUCUAUCAUCUAGUCAUGGAUAUGGUCACAAAAAUGAGCAAUUAUACACAGAGAAGAUGCAUGAUUAUCAAACAAUAGACAGACGUCAGUAUGGGGAACGACAAAAUGCUUAUAUUGGGAGGGACAUUCAAAGUGAUCCAGCUUCAAGAUAUACUGAUUCUGUUGGUUUUAGUCAUCAGCAUCAGGUGUUGCUUAUAUGCUUUCCAUUUUUUUAUUCCCUAUAUUUUCAUGUUGCACUUUUCAGCACGUAAAUAUGUAUGUUAAUUAUACAAAAGUGAAAUUCAAUGAUAAAAUUUUUUCAACAUUACUCCGGUUAUUAUUAUGAUGCAAAAUUUAAUUUUAUAUUAAAAUUGUUUUCUGAAAAAAGGUAUUGACUAAUUGUUGUAUUGAUUAUUGAAAUUAAUUCAUGCAUAACACAUAUUAAACGAGUAUAACUAUUAUUUACAAUUAAGAAUGCUCUUAGUUAUUUAAAUUUCCUUUAAUUAUGCCAUAUUUUUGUUACAAGACAGACACAAUAGGUUCAGGAAUACUAUGACCAAACUCAAAGUUUAUUUAGAAAAUUAUGGGAUAUAUUUUAUAUUAUUUGAUCCCAAACUAAUAUUUAAUUAUAUGAACAAAGUUAAAAUUACUAUAUAAAAUAAUCAACUGAAUUUCAAUUAUAAGGACAAUUUUAUUAAGUACAGUUCAUAUAAAUAGAUUGAAAUUUCUCGGGGGAUAAUGUCUUGAUCAAUUGUAGAAAUCUGUAAUCGGUUGAUUGUUUCCCUGUCAAGUUUUUUAUGUAUUUAAUGCGUUAGACAGACUUGCCAUAGCAGCAUCAUAAUGUCUUCAAACAGCAUAAUGAUCAUUGAUUUCGAUUAAUGAGAGGAUCAAGCAAGGAGUUACUCAUCUAUAUGCAAAUGAACAAAUAUAAAAUUUUUUAUGUUAUUAGAUUUUGGAUUUUUGCUGGUUCAGUCUCACACGAAUUUUGAUUCUUGCAUAAUCAGUCAAUUUUAUUUUAUAUACACGACCUCCAUUCCAAUGAAUGUUAAACAUAUUGGUACUUGUAUAUACAGAUUCUGCUACUGUUUAGUUGGUAAUAUUUUUCACUGUGACCAUCAUUUAUCUUGCAGCCUGGGACAUAUGAACGCAUUGAGCAAGCAUCAAUUCUUCGGCAAGAACAGUUACUGAAAUCUCAGUCAAUGCAAUCAGCUUCUCUUGAUGGAACUGCCAGGUAUUUUUCAUUCUUUUAAGUAUUUAUUUUAUUAUGUAUCCAAAUGGAUCUAAACUAUGCAUUUGAUGGCAUAUGGUGCUUGUAAUUGGUUACAUCUUUCUCCACACUGAUGAACAGGCAAGGUCGUCCUUGCCAUGUUAUAACACAUUAGAGCUCUCUCUUGUGGUGAUAGUCUGUGCUAAGUUAGGUGGUGUAAACUUCAUAUAUUGCACUGAGUAGCAACACAUUUCUGGCAGACAAAUUGAUUACCUUGCAGCAAGAGGUGCUGCUAAUCGCCCUUCUACCCAAGAUCUUGUUUCUUAUGGAGGAAGAAUGGAAGCUGAUCUUCUCAGUUCAUCAAUGCUUAGUGCUUCUUCAUAUAGUGGGCAACAUGCUCCAUCAAUAUUAGGUGCAGCUCCACGGAGGAAUGUGGAUGAUCUCCUGUAUCCUCAAAGUUCUUCAAAUCCAGGCUAUGGAGUUAGCCUGCCUCCUGGUAGAGACUAUGGCUCAGGAAAAGGGCUUCAUGGCUCAUCUCUUGAACCAGAUUAUCGUGGUGGUCAUUCAAGGAUCGAGGAUCGGAGGGAUGAUAGAGCUGGUUAUCUUCGGGAGUUUGAGCUAAGAGAAGAGGAGCGCCGUCGAGACAUUUUGCGUGAGAGGGAGAAAGAAAGAGAAAGGGAGAAGGAAAGGGAGCGGAAAAGGGAACGAGAACGAGAGAGAAAGCGUGAAAGAGAACGCAUUUUGGAGCGGCAUGAGAAGGAGAGAGAGCGAGAGCGGAAACGUGCACUUGAAAUUAGGCGUGAACGAAGUCCACCAAGAGUCUCAAGGGAUAGACGUGGGACCUCUUUGGGAAAGGAGGCCAGAUGCUCGCGACGAGAUUCGCCUAGUCAUGAAGCUUCACAUAGGUGGAUCAUGAUGUUUCAUUUGCGUCCUGCUAUAGUUCUUAAUUUAUAGCUGCUUGUGUAUGUUGCAGUCUUCGUAACUAACUAGCUGUUCUGUUAUGCUGAAGGCGUCAUUCACCUGUUAAAGAAAAAAGAAGAGAAUAUGUCUGCAAGGUAAAGAAAAAAAAAAUGCAAGAGUUUAGUAAUUCAAUGAUGAUGAGAACUUUUACCUUGUGAAGAAUCUGUUCCUUUCUUAUGAGCUUCACUUCUGGAGUUGAGGGAUCAAUUGGAUUCAAUCACGAUUCUUUUAUUGUUGCUUCUGUUUGGGCCUGCCAUUUCUAUUCUUGGCUUAAGUCUUCCAUCAUGUUUGACUGCUUACUUCUUUUGAACCUUCUAAAAUUCUCAUUUAUAGUUCUACAAUUGGAAGACUUCUAUUCUGGGCUACUUUUCCUUGGCUCUGGGUGUCUGUUUCUCGUUUGCUCUUGCCUUUUUUUUUUUUUAAAAACUUCAUCUUGCCUCUCUCUCUCUCUCUCCCCCCNNNNNNNNNNNNNNNNNNNNNNNNNNNNNNNNNNNNNNNNNNNNNNNNNNNNNNNNNNNNNCUCCCCCCCCCCCCCCCCCCCCCCACCCCCUUUUAUGAUGUCCUCUAUAAUUUUUGGACUCACUGGCCAUUCCUUAUUGUUUAUUAUACUGUUGGGAGAAAACACUAGCUUCAUCCAGAGAUGGUGUUGCCAAUCUCUUGUACAAUUUCCAAGACUACUUUCAAAAAAAUGUUGCCAGUCUCUUGUACAAUUCCAGGAUUACUUUUGUUACCAUAAACUUGAUGGACCCUAUUUUGUGUAGAUGGCCGACAGCGUAUAUUGUGGUCAUUACUAGUGCUGAUAAUUAGGAAUUCUUGCAGCUGCUGGUGUCAUGCGAGGCAUACCAUAUAUUAAGUCAUGCUACUUUGUUCUUUGUAACCUGAAUUGUUCAUUGAUGAAACUUUCAUUUGUGUUCAUAAUUGGUAUUGUGUACUUGCAGAUUCAUGCAUCGAGUUUAGCUGAUAUAGAGAGGGAUUAUUUAUCAACAGAUAAAAGAUAUCCCAGGCUAUUUAUAUCUCCAGAAUUUGCAAAGGUUUGAGGUUCUAAUCCCGUCACCCUCCUUUUCCCUGAUUUGAAUGGAUAUUGAGCUUCGCGAAAUAGAGGAAACUCUUGGCAAGAUCAAAGAAAGAAUCCGUUCGAUGAUUUUUAAUUUUUUUUUUUGUGUUAAUGUGGACAUCAAUUUAGGUGGUUGUGAACUGGCCAAAGGAGAAUCUUAAACUCUCGAUCCAUACACCAGUAAGGUACUUUGAUAUUUGGUUAUUUGUUGAAAAGGUUUCCUGAUGUCCUUUUGAGUUUCUUUGAAAUUCAUACUAUGAUAACAUUCAUCUCAUUUUUCGAUUGAAAAGGACAUACCCUUAAUGCCUGAGUUGCUAUUUGUCUGCAAUAUUUUAAAUCUCUGUAUUUAUAUAUUCCUCUUCUUGUCUUGAGAAUGAGCGAUUUGGUGUUCUAUUCUGAAAUUUAAGAAUCUUUUUUAAGAUUGCAGCAGCCAAAAGGAUAACCAGUUUUAUUUUUUCACUUAAGAGGAAAAGAAAGUAAUUUUCUAAUAGUAGUUGAACAUCCUAAAUGCAACAGUUUUGAGCAUGAUUUUAUUGAAGAUGAGGGUGUAACAGAGGCAAAAGAGCUAUCAACUAAGCUUUUGGCUGAACAACUGGUAAAAUCAGAGCAUGAGCGCACAAUAUGGAAUGCAAAGGUAGGUUAUUUGCUAUUGAUUAUAUCUGCAUAAAUGUUUGAUUUGAAAAAGAUCGUUUUGCUAGUAUGAUGUAAACUGGAUUUUAAACAGCUUAUUUCACUAGUGAUUAUGAUUUUCUGUCUUUUCAUAUUUUUAACAGUUGAUUGUGGAAUCCUGUGUUGUGGUAUUCAGUUGUGACCUUCUUUUUCUCUGGGAACAUCAAGCGAGGAAGCUUGAGCUUGAAUAAAUUUGUUGUUUUCCGUGUUCCCUGCAUACGAAGCAACUGCUGGCUGUGAACAGACAAGUUUUUAAGUGAUGAGAAACUUUGAUUCCUGCUGCUGGAGUCUUUAGCCUAGUCAUUGGAUAUUGCGCAACUGAGCAAGAAAAAAAUAAUUAGGAAUUGUAUUCUUAGUUAGUUGGGAGGGCCUUCUUUCAUAUAGGAGUUGGGGUGUCCAAACCACUGACCCAUUUUGGUUAGCCUGUUCAAGGGGAGUUCUGUUUAUCGGUUUGAACCAAAAUUACUGUUGGUUCGGCUUGGUUUGCAGAAAUUAAUCGGUUAGACUUAAAACCAAAUUGAUAUGGUUUGCAGAAAGAACGACCGAACCAGUCAAGUUGGAAAUGUUGGUUUGCAUUUUCAUCUUGGUUUGGAUCGGUUUGAACUGAAAUGACCGAUUGCUCACCCAUGUAUAGGACUCUAUUUUUGGUACUGAUUAUCCCCAUUCUGUGUUGUUCGACAACUCAGUAUUUUCCAUAUACUUUUUGACGCUGCUUAAACAACAUACUGAAUUUGGUCAGCGAAAAAAACUGUUUUUAAUCUCUCAUUGACCUUUUUGCUUAUGAAAUUUUCACCAAACACUGGAAACUCAGUGGGUGGCUUAUCGAGCCCAAAAGUGGAAAUGAUUAUUGUCAAGUAGGGGAUCCAGACAUUGGAAUGAUAUCCUUGUGGGGCCUUUUUCAUAAAUAACUAGAUAUUGUAUUCACUCAGACCAUAAAUCAAUAUUGAUUUGUAUCUUAUUUUGAUGGGAUAAUUACCCUAAAGUCCUCUAACUUAAAAUGAUAUUUCUGUUGAGGCCUUCAACAUGUUGUAUUGCUCAAUUAAGUCUAUAAACUGCUGCAUAUGAUUUGUGGUGAUGCAAAAAUUGACAUAAAUGGAUAUAUGACGAUGAUAGUAUACAUUUUGGAACAAGAUUGAGUUCUUUUAAGAGUUCAAGGACUACUUUAAGGAAAGGAAAAA